rnacentral:sRNA from 1 species
UUUUCGCCUGUGUAAAAUGAGGAUGAGAACCUCCAAAGGAGGUUUGCGCCGAGCGAAGCGAGACAACGUUGCGAAGGCAACGGCCCGAAGGGCGCGUAAUCCUCUCUCGCCGACCA